UUCAAAAGAAAGCCUUUCUCUCUCUAGAUCUCUUUCCUCUCGUAGGAUUCCGAGGGUUUCUUCUUCAUCGGAGAUCUUCCAUUCGCAAUCCCUAUAGAUCUCGCCGUCAUGGCGGCCGCUAAUGCUCCGAUCACUAUGAAAGAAGCCCUAACGGUAGGCUAUUAUUCAUGUUUAACUUUUUUCCCCAACGAUUUAUUGCAAUUUCAUAUUGACUGUUUAAAAUUGAUUGAUUUUCCUACUCUUACUAGUGUUUCACGUGUGAAUUGUUGCUUAGUACCGUGAUUUGAGUUUGAUUGAAGAUCUGAAACCCUAGGCUAUGAUAUUGUCUUAAAUAUUUGAACUUUAGUUUCUAUCUGAUACUAGAAUCUGGAUUUAAAUUUGUAUUUUAAUACGUCAGAAAUGUAGCUCAGAAAUUUGAUAUUAGUUCAUUGCCAGAUCUGAAUCCUAGGUUAUGAUAUAAAGUAGCUCUGAACUUUGAUAUUAGUUCAUUGCCAGAUCUGAAUCCUGGGUUAUGAUAUUAUUUUGGAUUGAGAACUUUAUGUUUCUAUAGUGAAUUUAAAAUCCAGAUUGAAUUUAGUAUUGUUAUUAGUAUUUCUUGCAACUUGGCACAAGCUAAAUGUAGCUUAUAACAGUGAUUAUUUUGUUGCGAGAUCUAAGGCCUUGGUCAUGAUAUUAUUUUGGAUUGAUAACUUUAGUUUAGUAUUUGAAUUUUAAAUCUAGAUUGAAUUAGGUAUUUUAAUACGUCUGAAAUGUGGCUUAGAACUGUGAUAUUAGUUCAUUAUAAGAUCUGUGACCUCAGUUAUGUCUAUGUGAAUUUAAAAUCUGGAUUGAUUUCGUAUUCUUAUCAGUGAUUUGGUAGCUUAGCAUGUGUGAAUUGUGUCUUUGAAUUGUGAUAUUACUUCAUUACCAGAUCUGUGAUGUAUGUUUGGAUAUCAUUUUGGAUUGAGAACUUAAGUUUUUAUGUGAAUUUAAAAUCUGGCUAGAAUUUCAUAUCUUUAUUUGUGUUUUAUGCAAUAUAUCAUGUAAGCAACCCCCACUUCCAACAAGAGGGGUUGCUCUGAUGGUAAGCAACCCCCACUUCCAACC
rnacentral:lncRNA from 1 species